GUGCGAAUGAAACGAGAGGUACUUCCCGCGGGCCUUUUUUUUUCGCUCUUCAUACGCGAACGCGCCACGCUGUGUGCCGAAGUCCUUCUCGGGGCCACUCACGGCACCUGUAGAAUUAUCUGCUGAUUUAUCCCCCCCCCCUAGCGCAUUGUUACUGUUUUUCUUUUUUCGCGGAGACGCAUUGAACUCUCAUCAGCGUGCAGGUGCCCACCACCACCGACCUCCUUUACUCCUCAUGAGUGACUUCGAAGUGGUCUCUUCCGAAGAUGAAGAGGCAGGCAUGAUCACCGUCGGAAGAUCUGCGGAGGUGCCGCCGUAUGGGCAUCUGCGUCCGUUCUGCAAGGGAAAGCUGCUGUGGUCCCCGGAUGCAUCCCACUGGAUACUCGUCCUGCUCACCCUGGCAGGUGGCACGCUACUGUUUACGCUGCUCUGGGGAUCGCUCCGCUACACUUCCCCGAACAUCCUGCCCAACCGGUGGAUGAUGCAGUUGCCUGAUAUCAUUGUCGCGCUUCUGGCAGUGGUGUCUGCAACGCUUCUCUUGUGCACAUCACUCACAAACCCAGGUAUUCUUCCCAAAAACAACUUUCCCCCCUCGCUGAGCAGCUCCGCCGCGAAGGACUACUGCACGACUCUCCCCUAUUGCAUGACGUGUCACAUCUACCGCCCCUCGCAGUCAGGCCACUGUAGGCGCUGCAACAACUGCGUUGCACUAUUUGAUCAUCACUGCCGUCUUCUCGGGUGCUGCAUCGGUGAGCUCAAUAGGCGCUACUUUCUUCUCUUUCUCUUUAGUACCGCCGUCUGCAGCGCCUUCACCUCUGCGUGUCUCGGGUACUUUGUCGUCGUUGUGCCUCCGAAGGGAAACUUGGUUCUGUACAUCCUCUUCACUGUCGGCCUCGCCACCACCGUGCUUCUCAGUCUCGUUCUUGCCGGGUACCUGCUGCACAACCUCCGCCUGAUUCGCAUGGGAUUGUUGCAUCGUGAGUACAUGAAUGGCGCCGCCCCGCGCAGCCGCGGUCGUGCUAGCUUCUUUGCAAACUUGAUACAAGUGUUCUUUCCGAGAAAGGAAUGUGGCUAAUCACGCUCCGUUCCACCCUCGCUGGUACCCUCCUCUUCUUUCUGAUUUAUUCGAGUCGCUGUGGGAAGCCCUGAUGACAAGGGGGAGACACCCCCGUAUGUGGCAUCUCACGAUCCAGCACCCCACCCUCUAGCCCUGCCCGAUGCCGAGCCGCUUCUGGUCGUGACAGGCUCUGGCGCCCACGACGUAGGAUGGGGAGGUCAGAACGCGCUUGCGCCAUCCAUAUGGUAGGCGGAGCGUCAGUGUGAGUCGAGCACACCCCACCUGACCCUCAAUGCCUACCGGUGGUGGGGAGCCUGAGCCACCCCGAGGGGGAUUCACCAGGUGGCGACCGGCAGAACGGGGGAGCGCCUGUGCGGCAACCUGCGAGGUUGGGGACGGAUGGAGUUUGGUGCAGAGCCAGAGCUGGGAUGUCUGGGUCGGUGCACAGCUGUAACGCAUGUGCCUACGGCGUGCUGCUUUGCACCACGCGAUGGGGGCCUGUGGCGGGCCCGGUAGAGCGGAUUCGAACUCGUGUUGCGUGGCAGAAAAUUCGCAGGCUGAGCAGCAAAGUUGUUUUAGUCGAGCCUCUUGUUGGCUGCAUUUUCACCGUGUUUUCAUUAUUGAGCCUGCUUCCCCUCUUUAUUGAUCUUUCUGAGCGGCGCAUGGCUGUUCAGU
rnacentral:misc_RNA from 1 species